rnacentral:lncRNA from 1 species
GUGAGGAGGCGAGCAUUGAGUUGUCCAGGAGGAGGGACUUUGGCUAAAAAUAGCUAUGGCGUGUGGAUCAGCCUCUAGUGGUACCCAGGACUGGGGAGGGGAGGGGGAUGCUCUAGAGCUGUCGCCAGACUGGUUGCUGUGGAAACAGGAGAGGAGCAGGGGAGCCUGGGAAGUGGGGAUGACACAGAUAGCAAGUCCUAGUCAGAGCUGCCGCUACAUUUAGGAGAAACAGCAGUGCUUGCGGCUCCCACCCUCCAGGGGUGCUUGGGGUGAGGGGGAGGCGGUGUCAGGGGCAUGGACGCUACCCCCCAGGGGUCUCUGCUGCCGGCUACUCUCCUCUCCACACGCUGGGUCCCUAGAUGCCUAUGGAAGGGCUCUGGGUCUCUCUGUCUCAGGGCAGAUUGCAGUCCAGAGAGAGAGCUGCUCACAGGGAAGAAUUUAAAGCAAAAUCAGGUAGGCUUCUCUUGGAAUGUGAGAUCUGGGACAUAUGGAGGGGGGCUGUUGUGAGGAUAGUCAAGGGAGGUGGGAGGCUGGGGUGGGGAGAGAACUGAAGGGAGGAGAGAGGUAAAUGUGGGUGCUUCAAUCACUUAUCUGAGUUAAAGGCUCAUCAGGAGUAGGUUGCUAGAGGGUUACAAGCCUAAUCUUGAUGAACUUUGUGCUUCUUUUACCCUGGCUGUCCGUGUUGAUCUCACAUCCUCCGACCCUCCUGCCCGUUUGCAGGCUGUCUCCACUGUGGAAAUAACCCAGGGGAAAUGGGGCUAACGCUACAGCUGCAAUGACCAGCGUCAGUCCUCAGGGAGAAUUCUCAGUGGGAAUUUCCUAAGGUGGGAAUGUUCAACCUUUGCCCACUGGAGAUUUUUCACUCGCUUUCCACCACUUUCAUUUCUCCUUUGUAAGCUUCUUGAGAGGAAGAAGAUGUGUGGCGAGGGGGGUUGGGAGUAGAGUAAGCAAGGUCCAAAGAGGGAGAAAUGGGAAAGACUUUCUGCGUCAAUUUCCUGGUGAAUGGUAAAAGAGCCUGGUUAGCCGGCAGGCUGAAGGCGGAGAUCAGGAAUAAGGAGACUGCCUGACUUUAGCCUGGGUGGUGUGGAAGUGGGAGGCCUUUGGGCAGGGAGGGCUCUGCCCUGGAGAGGAAGAUGAACCACCAGCUUUCAAGAAGCUCACAGCGUACAGAUCUCAGGAAACUCCCUUCUUGCCCAGGGCCUUUUGCCUGAGGGUGGCCAUGAGGUGCUGUACAGCCCCGUUAGAGGCAGUGGGACCAAGAUCUCUGUUACCACGCCCUGCCCUUUCCUUCUAAAAUAAUCAGUCAUGCAGAGUGCGAUCCAGUUCAUACACCCUAUCCCACUGGAUCCUCACGAUUUUGUGAGCUGCGGGUGGGGCCAGCUAGGGCUGUGUGUAUCGUUCCCAUUCUACCGAUGCGGCAAGCCGAGGCCGAGAGGCAGCAAGGGACUCGCACAGGGCCACCCGGCCCCUGCGCGCAGGCCCGGACGUCUCGGCCUCUCU